rnacentral:rRNA from 1 species
UACGUAGGGUGCAAGCGUUGUCCGGAAUUAUUGGGCGUAAAGAGCUCGUAGGCGGCUUGUCACGUCGGAUGUGAAAACCCGCGGCUUAACUGUGGGCUUGCAGCUGAUACGGGCGGGCUAGAGUUCGGUAGGGGAGACUGGAAUUCCUGGUGUAGCGGUGAAAUGCGCAGAUAUCAGGAGGAACACCGGUGGCGAAGGCGGGUCUCGUGGGCCGAUACUGACGCUGAGGGGCGAAAGCGUGGGGAGCGAACAGG